CACGUGGGUAACCUGCCCAUCAGAAGGGGAUAACACUUGGAAACAGGUGCUAAUACCGUAUAACAAUCGAAACCGCAUGGUUUUGAUUUGAAAGGCGCUUUCGGGUGUCGCUGAUGGAUGGACCCGCGGUGCAUUAGCUAGUUGGUGAGGUAACGGCUCACCAAGGCCACGAUGCAUAGCCGACCUGAGAGGGUGAUCGGCCACAUUGGGACUGAGACACGGCCCAAACUCCUACGGGAGGCAGCAGUAGGGAAUCUUCGGCAAUGGACGAAAGUCUGACCGAGCAACGCCGCGUGAGUGAAGAAGGUUUUCGGAUCGUAAAACUCUGUUGUUAGAGAAGAACAAGGAUGAGAGUAACUGUUCAUCCCUUGACGGUAUCUAACCAGAAAGCCACGGCUAACUACGUGCCAGCAGCCGCGGUAAUACGUAGGUGGCAAGCGUUGUCCGGAUUUAUUGGGCGUAAAGCGAGCGCAGGCGGUUUCUUAAGUCUGAUGUGAAAGCCCCCGGCUCAACCGGGGAGGGUCAUUGGAAACUGGGAGACUUGAGUGCAGAAGAGGAGAGUGGAAUUCCAUGUGUAGCGGUGAAAUGCGUAGAUAUAUGGAGGAACACCAGUGGCGAAGGCGGCUCUCUGGUCUGUAACUGACGCUGAGGCUCGAAAGCGUGGGGAGCAAACAGGAUUAGAUACCCUGGUAGUCCACGCCGUAAACGAUGAGUGCUAAGUGUUGGAGGGUUUCCGCCCUUCAGUGCUGCAGCUAACGCAUUAAGCACUCCGCCUGGGGAGUACGACCGCAAGGUUGAAACUCAAAGGAAUUGACGGGGGCCCGCACAAGCGGUGGAGCAUGUGGUUUAAUUCGAAGCAACGCGAAGAACCUUACCAGGUCUUGACAUCCUUUGACCACU
rnacentral:rRNA from 1 species